rnacentral:lncRNA from 1 species
AAAAAUAGAGGAAAAAAGAGAAGAAAAUAGAGGAAAAAGAGGCAAAAAGGAAAGAGAAAAAAAAUUAAAAAUUGAAAAAGGAAAAUAUAAAAUUGAGAAAAAAUAAGAAAAAUGAAAAAAGAAAAAUUGGAAAAAAAUUGAGGAAAAACGCUGCAAAAAAGAUAAAAGAGAAAAUAGAAAAAAAGAAAAUAAUGCCGAGAAAUUGAGAAAAAAAAUUGAGAGAAAAACUAAAAGAGAGAAAAAAUAGAAAACAGGAAAAAAAGAAAAUUCAGGAAGAAGAAAAUUGAGGAAAAUAAAUUUGGGGAAAUUGAGCCAAAAGAAAAAAUUCAAAACGUUGAGGAAAAAAUAGAAAAAAUAGAGAAGAAAAUAGGAAAAAAGGAAACCGGGAAACAGCCAAAAGGAGCGAAGCGGCGGCAGAGCCCGGCAGCGAGCGGCCGCUGGCGAGGAGCGGCGGGAGCCGCGGGGAGCGGAGCGGGGAGCCCAGGAAGCGGGAGCGGGAGGUGGAGCGAGGAGAAGCAGCGCUCGGAGCAGCGGCGCCGGCGGGACCAGAGCUAGAGCGGGGGGGGAGCCCCCCCGAGCGGCCGGAGGAAGGCGGGAAGAGCCGAGCAAUGGGGCAGCGGCGCCGGAGCCGGCAGCGCCGCGGGAGGUUUGAGGCGUUGAGGGAAGGCAAAGCCGAGAGGAGCCGGAGCUUGUGGGGCUGGAGCAGGAGCCGCAGCCGAGAAGCAGCCAAGAUGCAGGAAAACAGGAAAAAAAAACACAGGAAAAACGCAGGAAAAUGCAGGAAAAACGCAGGAAAAAGGCAGAUAAUGGUGAGAAAAAUGCCAAGCAAAGCAAAAAAGCGAUUCUGAGGGCCAGGGUUUGACCAAAACCGGCCAAUCUGCACCCAAAGCGGGAGCUUGGCCCAGCGCCCCUCGGGGCCAAAGGCAGUGAUGUGGUACCGCGGCACCGGGCGGAAAUGCCGUGCUGGGAGGCAGCUUGGAAGAACCCCCCCUUUUCCCCCCCAAAACGGAGCUGGAAAAUGAGGACUUUCAUCCCGAGUAGCUUCAGGAGCUUCCCAUAGGAAAAACUAACGUAAAACCCCCCCAAAACGCCGGUGGAAGGUGGGGGGGGGGGGGGGGAAGGCACAAAACUGGUUUUUGGCUUCUCUCUGUUGCCAGGACCCCCCCAUUCCAGUGUUGAGGAUUCACAGCCGCCAACAGCCACAUUGGGGCAAAAAAGCCCCAAAAAGGGUCUGCAGGAACACAUAGG